rnacentral:misc_RNA from 1 species
GAAGUGCGAUAAGCAAUGCGAAUUGCAGAACCGUGAGUCAUCAGAUUUUUGAACGCAACUGGCGCCGAUUGGGUCUCCAGUCGGCAUGCUUGUUUCAGUGUCUUGUUUUCUCCUCACCCAAAUCUUAAUGCGAGAGAUAUCCUUCUCUUGUUAAGCAUGAAAGCACUCUGCGCUCUGCGAGUGGCUUCGACUUGUUCGAGGGCCACACUCAAUGCAGCAGUCACAUUGCUCACAAUGUGAACUCAUUGAGAGUAGAGGCAGUGCAGCGUCAGCUGCCAGUGCUUAGUCACACUAACUUUCUUUGCAUCUGAAAUCAAGCAGGAUCACCCGCUGAACUUAA